ACUACGGUGCUGAAGUAACAAAUGCCCUGCUUCCAGGAAAAGCCUCUAAGCAUCAGGUAACACAAAAUCGUACCCCAAACCGACACAGGUGGUCAGGUAGAGAAUACCAAGGCGCUUGAGAGAACUCGGGUGAAGGAACUAGGCAAAAUGGUGCCGUAACUUCGGGAGAAGGCACGCUGAUGGUAAGUGAAGCGACUUGCUCGUGGAGCUGAACUCAGUCGAAGAUACCAGCUGGCUGCAACUGUUUAUUAAAAACACAGCACUGUGCAAACACGAAAGUGGACGUAUACGGUGUGACGCCUGCCCGGUGCCGGAAGGUUAAUUGAUGGGGUUAUCCGCAAGGAGAAGCUCUUGAUCGAAGCCCCGGUAAACGGCGGCCGUAACUAUAACGGUCCUAAGGUAGCGAAAUUCCUUGUCGGGUAAGUUCCGACCUGCACGAAUGGCGUAAUGAUGGCCAGGCUGUCUCCACCCGAGACUCAGUGAAAUUGAACUCGCUGUGAAGAUGCAGUGUACCCGCGGCAAGACGGAAAGACCCCGUGAACCUUUACUAUAGCUUGACACUGAACAUUGAGCCUUGAUGUGUAGGAUAGGUGGGAGGCUUUGAAGCGUGGACGCCAGUCUGCGUGGAGCCAACCUUGAAAUACCACCCUUUAAUGUUUGAUGUUCUAACGUUGACCCGUGAUCCGGGUUGCGGACAGUGUCUGGUGGGUAGUUUGACUGGGGCGGUCUCCUCCUAAAGUGUAACGGAGGAGCACGAAGGUUAGCUAAUCCUGGUCGGACAUCAGGAGGUUAGUGCAAUGGCAUAAGCUAGCUUGACUGCGAGAGUGACGGCUCGAGCAGGUGCGAAAGCAGGUCAUAGUGAUCCGGUGGUUCUGAAUGGAAGGGCCAUCGCUCAACGGAUAAAAGGUACUCCGGGGAUAACAGGCUGAUACCGCCCAAGAGUUCAUAUCGACGGCGGUGUUUGGCACCUCGAUGUCGGCUCAUCACAUCCUGGGGCUGAAGUAGGUCCCAAGGGUACGGCUGUUCGCCGUUUAAAGUGGUACGCGAGCUGGGUUUAGAACGUCGUGAGACAGUUCGGUCCCUAUCUGCCGUGGGCGCUGGAGAAUUGAGGGGGGCUGCUCCUAGUACGAGAGGACCGGAGUGGACGCAUCACUGGUGUUCGGGUUGUCAUGCCAAUGGCAUUGCCCGGUAGCUAAAUGCGGAAAAGAUAAGUGCUGAAAGCAUCUAAGCACGAAACUUGCCCCGAGAUGAGUUCUCCCUGACCCUUUAAGGGUCCUGAAGGAACGUUGAAGACGACGACGUUGAUAGGUCGGGUGUGUAAGCGUAGCGAUACGUUGAGCUAACCGAUACUAAUGAACCGUGAGGCUUAACCUUACAACGCCGAAGGUGUUU
rnacentral:rRNA from 1 species